rnacentral:rRNA from 1 species
UGAGCGGAGAUAUAUGGAGCUUGCUUUAUAUAACUUAGCAGCGAACGGGUGAGUAACACGUAGAUAAUCUAUCCUAUACUGGGGGAUAGCCCGAUGAAAGUUGGAUUAAUACCGCAUAUAGCUAUAUAGUUGCAUGAUUAUGUAGUGAAAGAUUUAUUGGUAUAGGAGGAGUCUGCGGCACAUUAGCUAGUAGGUGAGGUAAAGGCUUACCUAGGCGACGAUGUGUAGCCGGUCUGAGAGGAUGAACGGCCACAAUGGAACUGAGACACGGUCCAUACUCCUACGGGAGGCAGCAGUGGGGAAUAUUGCACAAUGGGGGAAACCCUGAUGCAGCAACGCCGCGUGAGUGAAGAAGGUUUUCGGAUUGUAAAGCUCUGUUAGCAGGGAAGAGGAAGGACGGUACCUGCAGAGGAAGCCACGGCUAACUACGUGCCAGCAGCCGCGGUAAUACGUAGGUGGCAAGCGUUGUUCGGAAUAACUGGGCGUAAAGGAUGCGUAGGCGGUUAAACAAGUUAUAUGUUAAAUAUAUAGGCUUAACCUGUAGAAAGCAUAUAAAACUGUUUAACUAGAGUGCAGGAGAGGUAAGUGGAAUUCCUAGUGUAGCGGUGAAAUGCGUAGAGAUUAGGAAGAACACCAGUGGCGAAGGCGACUUACUGGACUGUAACUGACGCUGAGGCAUGAGAGCAUGGGGAGCAAACAGGAUUAGAUACCCUGGUAGUCCAUGCUGUAAACGAUGGGUACUAGGGUGUGGGUUGUGAA